CCUACGGGGGGCAACAGUGGGGAAUAUUGGACAAUGGGGGGAACCCUGAUCCAGCCAUGCCGCGUGUGUGAAGAAGGCCCUCGGGUUGUAAAGCACUUUCAGUGAGGAAGAACGCCUGGUGGUUAAUACCCAUCAGGAAAGACAUCACUCACAGAAGAAGCACCGGCUAACUCCGUGCCAGCAGCCGCGGUAAUACGGAGGGUGCGAGCGUUAAUCGGAAUUACUGGGCGUAAAGCGCGCGUAGGUGGCUUGAUAAGCCGGUUGUGAAAGCCCCGGGCUCAACCUGGGAACGGCAUCCGGAACUGUCAAGCUAGAGUGCAGGAGAGGAAGGUAGAAUUCCCGGUGUAGCGGUGAAAUGCGUAGAGAUCGGGAGGAAUACCAGUGGCGAAGGCGGCCUUCUGGACUGACACUGACACUGAGGUGCGAAAGCGUGGGUAGCAAACAGGAUUAGAUACCCUGGUAGUC
rnacentral:rRNA from 1 species